rnacentral:misc_RNA from 1 species
GAUGAAGAACGCAGCGAAAUGCGAUAAGUAGUGUGAAUUGCAGAAUUCAGUGAAUCAUCGAAUCUUUGAACGCACAUUGCGCCCUUUGGUAUUCCUUAGGGCAUGCCAGUUCGAGCGUCAUUUAAACCUUCAAGCUAAGCUUGGUGUUGGGUGACUGUCCGCUUCACGGCGGACUCGCCUCAAAAUUAUUGGCGGCCGGUACAUUGGCUUCGAGCGCAGCAGAAACGCGAACUCGGGCCCGUCGUAUUGGCUCCCAGAAGCUAUCUUCACAAUUUUGACCUCGGAUCAGGUAGGGAUACCCGCUGAACUUAAGCAUAUCAAUAAGCGGAGGA